GCCAAGCGCAGGCAGGCAUGGCUCUUCUCUCUUCUCUUUGCUCCCUCCCUGCUUCGCGGAAGGCUUCUACUGAGCCGGUGUGGUGGUGGUGGGGGGGGGGCGAUCCGAAGACAUCAGAAACAAACGAAAAAAAGCACAAUGAUGAAUAAUCCAUCUUCCAGGCAUCCAUAGACAGCUAUGAUAUCUGCUAUUUUCGAAGUCAGCCAGUUGAC
rnacentral:lncRNA from 11 species